rnacentral:rRNA from 2 species
AACGCCGGCGGUGUGCCUAAUACAUGCAAGUCGAACGCGUUGGCCCAAUUGAUUGAUGGUGCUUGCACCUGAUUGAUUUUGGUCGCCAACGAGUGGCGGACGGGUGAGUAACACGUAGGUAACCUGCCCAGAAGCGGGGGACAACAUUUGGAAACAGAUGCUAAUACCGCAUAACAACGUUGUUCGCAUGAACAACGCUUAAAAGAUGGCUUCUCGCUAUCACUUCUGGAUGGACCUGCGGUGCAUUAGCUUGUUGGUGGGGUAACGGCCUACCAAGGCGAUGAUGCAUAGCCGAGUUGAGAGACUGAUCGGCCACAAUGGGACUGAGACACGGCCCAUACUCCUACGGGAGGCAGCAGUAGGGAAUCUUCCACAAUGGGCGCAAGCCUGAUGGAGCAACACCGCGUGAGUGAAGAAGGGUUUCGGCUCGUAAAGCUCUGUUGUUAAAGAAGAACACGUAUGAGAGUAACUGUUCAUACGUUGACGGUAUUUAACCAGAAA